rnacentral:rRNA from 1 species
UACGAAGGGGGCUAGCGUUGCUCGGAAUCACUGGGCGUAAAGCGCACGUAGGCGGAUUGUUAAGUCAGGGGUGAAAUCCUGGAGCUCAACUCCAGAACUGCCUUUGAUACUGGCGAUCUUGAGUUCGGGAGAGGUGAGUGGAACUGCGAGUGUAGAGGUGAAAUUCGUAGAUAUUCGCAAGAACACCAGUGGCGAAGGCGGCUCACUGGCCCGAUACUGACGCUGAGGUGCGAAAGCGUGGGGAGCGAGUCGG